rnacentral:ncRNA from 1 species
AAACUGAAGAGUUUGAUCAUGGCUCAGAUUGAACGCUGGCGGCAGGCUUAACACAUGCAAGUCGAGCGGAGUUUUGGUGCUUGCACCAUAACUUAGCGGCG